rnacentral:rRNA from 1 species
UUCUGGUCGGCCCCACCACUGAAACAACAUAUUUUUUUUCUUAUUUCCUUUCCUUUCCCUUACCUUAUCUCCUCAACUCUUCUAGUGGGCUCAGUUUGAGCUCAAUGAGGCGUUUCCCACAAGAUGAGAUGGUGAGAUGCAGUCCGCCGUCUAGGGCCAUCGCCGUCGCUAGCGACAAGUAGGGGUCUGUUCCCAUGCCUAUGCUCCCCUCAAUUCGUGCUCGGAAAUGAUUCACACAAGAUGAGAUGCGGUGUGCCGUUCGAGGUCGUCGCCGUCGCCGGAGGCAAGGCGAUAGCUAUUGCGGGUAGCACCGCUUGCGUCCGGCGCGCCUAUGCCCGAGCCUAAGCUAUGGCAGCUGCUCCAUGCCGCUGUUCCCCGCCAAACAACAUCGUGU